rnacentral:tRNA from 1 species
GCUUCGAUGGCGCAGUGGUAGCGCAGUGGUCUCAUAAUCAUGAGGAGCUUGAUUUUCAACUUCCUGUUGUGUGUGAUAUCCAAAGGUCGUGAGUUCGACCCUCACUCGGAGCA